AGCUGCAUGCUGGGAGUGGCUGGCAGGCACUCAGCCUUACAUUCAGAAGGCCUCACAGCUACCUGUAGAGCUCUGCCUCGUCCCCGGCCUGGACCACAAGCCCUCCGAGAGUCUCCACCUGGAGUCCUGAAGGCUACUGGGAACGAUACAGGUUUGUGAAAUUGCUACCUCACUGGAGCACAGAAUUUAAGGAAACCUAAUCUUGUCCCCAGGCCAUCACUCCAGAAUGGAAAUCUCUAUUCCUCUGUGGACUCUGCAAGCAGCAAGGAGGCCAGCCCAAGCGGGAGGCACAAGGAAGCAUUGAGUGGGGCGGAAACAUCCAAAUUUUAUGGCAAAGAAGUCCUUCAAAACGGGCUUUCCUUUGCAAAGGCGGUGGAGCAGGUAUGGAAGGUGACUCCCCAAAUCUGGACAUGAAGAUGCCUUUGCUUCCUGCUAAGAAAACAGCAUGAUCCAUACCCCAGACCUUUACAGCAGGCCACCAGCGUUCUCUAUGGGAAGUAUGGCAGACUCAGACAGGAGACUGAGCCCAGUAGCUUGAUCUAGCUAAGAGGACACACACUCCCCUCAAUGUCCAACUACACAUGACCUCAGCACAGGUCCAGAAUAACUAAUCCGUGAUUUACUAGAACUUAAAGAGGAGAAAUACGGACAAGAGAAAAGA